AAGGCAGGCUUCUACAGAGCUCUGCAUAUAUUGCUCAUCAGUUGUUAAAGAUCUUGUAGAGCCAAGACCCUUCCUGAAAGCCCUGGGAUACCUAGAGGCCUGAGAAGCUCUGCUGAUGCCACAAUUCCCAGUCACUAUAUUUCUACAGAACUAAGGCUCUGGGCUGUUGCACUUGUUUUGUGCAUCUGUGUCUCCCAGAUGAAAAAAUGAAGCAAGUUUCGGGGUUGAUGGAGAUAACAAAAAGAGGUGUGAAGAAACAAUUGUAUUCCUUAUGGCAAAGUAUACAGAAGAGGUGCUCCCUGCCACAGGACUUUUCUUCCCAGAUCUGCCAUGGAAGAAGAGUAACAUUCAUAUUAUUGGAUUCUUCAAAAAAGGCCAAGAACAUACUGAAGCAGCAUGAAGUGGAACCACAGAAGCUCAGAUGCCACAGAGGCUCAGGAUACAGUGGGACAGUUACUGCCUCCUGUUCCAGUUCCCUAAGAAAGUCACAAGCAGCCAGUCUGUGCCAUGAGUUCUGACCAAGAGCAGACAGGACAGGAUGGACCUUCCUUGGAACCGGGAAACUUAAUGCACAUGAAGGAUGAAAUGGAUGAAUUCCUGUGUAUCAGUCUUAUUUGUAGCAGCAUGGAAUAGCUUGAAGAGAUCGAUUAUAGAUAGUUCAAACAUAUGCAGACAGGAAAUAUUGCAAGGACAUUCCUUAGCAUUGCUUGACUGAACUGAAUGGAUACUGGCAGCUUUGCUAUACUUCUUUUCCAGUGUAUUUACUAGUAUAACCACCUCAGUUUACUGAGCAGACUAUUUCUGUACCUAUGUAUGUAGGGCCCUCCUUUUACAGGGCCCUACUCAAUUUUCCUGACAACUAUAAAUUCCAAAGUUACACAUCCUUAGCUUUUCUCCUGAUAGGUUCUCCUGUGAUAGGAAUGCAGCUCACAGAAUUCCAGAAGCAGCUCCUUGACAGAGAAAAUGAUUGAAUAUCAGUAUCUUUUAAGAGUAUGCCAUUUUAUCACAAGUUCAGAAUGCUAAAGAUUGUUUCUAUGUACAAUUCACAAGUUCUGGAUUUCACGGGUUUGUCUGUAUGCAGUUUACAUCUGAUUUUAAAAGUCCUUUCACUUAUUUUAAUCCUAAUUGAGACUUUUUGUUUGCAACUUCGAAGUUGCAUAUUUCAGGAGAAUCUAUUUGGCAUAAACUCUUUCAGUAAUGUAAACAUGAUAGGAAGGAUUUUGAUCAAAAUACAUUUAAUGCUGUCCAUAUAGCUAAGUUGAACUGAGACUGUGCUUUAACUCCUAAUUCACCCCUCAGCAGGGGCUCUCAGUUCAGGUCUUCUUCAGACCAUCACCCAACAAACAGUGCUUGCUAGAGAAGUUUGAAAGUAAACUGUGAAAAAGCCAAGUCUUAUCCAAGGUGAAAACAAAACUGAAGUGACAGCUUUGUUAGUGCAUGAAAGAGAAGUCUUAUGACUUACUUAUACUUUAUGUAUUUGCAUUUCCUUUUUUAACUGGAGCAAAGAAUCCUAUUUUUAAAGCAAAGAAUAUUCAUUAGCAAUAGCCCUGCAUUUGAUUUCAUGAACAAACUUGUUGAAUCCAGUAUUUUUCUCUGUGACUCAGUCUGCAGACUGUUUUAUCUUGACAAAGGAAAACUAAUUCAGAUUUGUUAAUUUAGGAAAUUAGUAUUAUUCAUAUAACCUAAAUUAAAAGAUUUAUUUUUUUUUUUUUUUUUUGCUGUUACUCAUGUUCUCAUAGUUACGCCUAUUUUAACACACAACAUUCAUUUACACAUGACAGCUAAAUGAAGUAAGCACUAUCUUAAUUGCCAAUGCAUUUGUUCCUAUGUAACACAAGAAAUAAGUACAAUUGCAUGAGGUGGAGCAAGGCACUUCAGUUAGUGGCCCAUAUUGUUGCUUUUUUUCAUUUAUCUGUAGGUAGACCAAGACCAGACUGAGUUAGAAACAGUGCUUUCACCAGAGCUAUUACAUUAUUUCCAGAGUGGGUUGUCACCUAAAGCGCUUUUAGACCCAAACAUGCCUCCACUUUAAACCAAAGUCUAUUAGAAAGCACAUAUAUGUGCCUUCUAUUUUAACACUCUCCUGCCCAGAAAUCUAUUCCCAUUUAUCCUCAAAGGCGUGACCUUUGGCUAUGAGAGAUCAUGUUCCUGCACAGCCUCUGAUGGUUCCUGCAGGUUUGUUGCACAGCACAGAGCCAUGAGAUCCAUCCAGAAACCAGCUGCGGAUACAUAGCUGAGAGACAGGGCUUGGCAGCAUGAGGACAGACAAGCAUUACACACAGUCUGACUUGCAUCCCAUAGAUUCAGUGCAGGGACUGAACUAACUUAAAACUGUUUGUGUCUAAGUAUCUUGACCAGGAAGGAUUUACCCUUGGGAUAACCAUCCAUCUGGGGAGUGAGGUGAAAACAAAAUUAGAUUUUGCUGAAAGAAGAAAGUGCUUUGUCCCAUGAAUACAAACUGCAUGCUGCAGCUUGCAGGAAGGGAUCAUUUAUAACAGAAAGAGCCCUAAUCUGAAGCAUAAAGAGCCUCCUGAAAAAAACAACAAAACAACAAAACAGAAAAAAACCAAAAAAAAAAACAAAACUUUUUUUCUAGCAGAAGAAAGUGUAAUGUUGCUGUCAUUGAUUUGUCAUAACAGGAAAAAAAAAAAUCAAUAGGGGAAAAAAGUUUCAAACAGGGAAUUUAAUUUAGGUGGUGAAACAAUAACAACACUGAGAAUAUUUUUAUCCAGAUGGAAACUGGAGGUGGCUUGCAAUUGAAUGAAGUAUGAAAUGUAAUUUAGAUGGAUAACAUCCAAUAUUUAUACCACAACUCUACAUUCCACAUCAAAUCCUCAUUCGCAUGCAAUUUUGAAUGCCCUGAAGAUCUCCCUUACAACAUGGUAUCUCUGACUCUACCCGUUUCUCUCCAGGAUACCUACUGCCAUAUUCACA